rnacentral:sRNA from 1 species
GCCCGGUAGGCGAGGCAAGCGCACGGAUAUGGAUCGCUGCCGCGAAGCCGUGGAGACACGGCCAGCUGGCUAACAGGUCACGUCGAAACCAAGGCGUAACCUAACGCGAUUUCACCGCCCUGCGACGCUGAAGCUCGGACGGUG